rnacentral:rRNA from 1 species
AUACGGAAGGGGCAAGCGUUGUUCGGAAUCAUUGGGCGUAAAGGGCGCGUAGGCGGUUUCAUAUGUCCGCUGUGAAAAAACACGGCUUAACCGUGUUCCGUCGGUGGAAACUGUGAGACUUGAGGCUGGGAGGGGCCGGUGGAAUUCCCCAUGUAGCGGUGAAAUGCGUAGAGAUGGGGGAGAACACUCGUGGCGAAGGCGGCCGGCUGGACCAGUUCUGACGCUGAGGCGCGAAAGCGUGGGGAGCAAACAGGAUUAGAUACCCCGGUAGUCC